UCAGAUUAUCACUCAGUUCAAGGAGCAGGGAUUACAUACUGAAUUGUACUAUAAAAGUAAGGAAAUGGGGGAAACUUUCAGCAUUGUGCCCACAAGUGCUAUUAGUGGCGAAGGCAUCCCAGAUUUGUUAUUAUUAUUGUUCAAUGGACUCAGAAAACUAUGGUUGAGAAACUUACAUACAGCAGUGAAAUGCAGUGUACUGUGUUGGAGGUCAAGG